GAGAAUCUCAAACUCCUGGCACCUGAGAAGAGAAGUAAAAAAUCGUUCACAAAUUAUUGAUACACUAUAAGACCCUGCACGUCUCACCCUGUACAUGGAGACCACGCAAGAUCUGAGCUCAAUGCUAGAUGCUCCCACUUUAAGGAGUCUCCAUUUAAGGUCCAAUGCGACUGAACAGAAAGGAUAUGAAGAAGAGUGGCCCAGAUUUCUAGGAAAUAAGAAUGAAACCCUUCCAGUACUGUGAUGUCUUUGAGUUGAAUCAAAUCAUAGUUGAGAGGGCUGGAAGAUGAAUGGUGACUCAGCUGAGAAGAGACUGGUGAUCUUUUUAUCAUGAAAAUGAUUGUGGAAAGGGCUUUAGGGGUCCCAACUUUUUAUAUUGACUGUGAAGGACAGUUCGUGCUUGGUUUUCUGCAGCAUAGAGAGCUCGGGACACAGCAGGUGCAAGGAGGUUCCAGGACUGAAAGCUUUGGUGCUUCUCAUGGCUUGGAUAUCUCAGUGCCUUGGGUAAAGAAGAUGAAGGACCCUCCCUCGCUCAGGCUUUAGGAGCAGGAGCAAACUGAUGGCCCUAGUAUAAAAGGCUAGUGAAGUCUGCAGAGUUCCUGAGCGAGAAGGAUCUCUGAAAGCAUCUUGUUUCACAGAAGCUUCUUCUGUUCCUGGAAAGGGCUCUGGGGAAUCCAGGGAUCAGUGGUCCUGAUGAUCCCUGGGAGAAGGAUGCUCUGUUCCGGGAGAGUGUUCUGAGAGACCCUUCUGCAAAGCCGAAGUGCUGCAGAAGCCAUUCUUUCACGAGAGAUGCAGCACACAGUUCAGUCAAGAUUUGGUCUGCAAAAAAGCCUCCAAGGGAAAAUGGGCUCUUCGAAUAUUUGCUUUCACAGCUAGUCAUUUUUUUAUGUUUUAAAAUUCUUUGACAGUUUCAUAUAUGUAUAAUAAAUUUUGAUAAUUUUUAUUGUGCA